UAUACGUUCCUAAUAAUAACAAUAUUUUUGAUUUGGUUUGUUUUUAUGGAUAUUGCAAAUUAGUAUUUGAUUUGCUUCGUAGAGUUACGGAUAUCCAGAUUUUUCAGUUCGAACUGAAAACAAAUAACGAAUGAAUCAAAAUUUACAGAUAUUUUGCCUAAUUCUAUGUUUUACAUAGAUUAAAAAAUACUUCAUUAGUAAGUAAUUGUUUUAACAUUUUUAAUCCAAAAAUGUUAUUUUAGAAUUCUAAUAAAAAUUAUAUUUAUUUUCAGUUUAACAUUAAUUGUAAACUGCAUUUAUCUUAUAAAUAAUUUUAUAUAUAUUAAAUAUUAAUGGUCAAAUAGGUGUAAUUAAUAAGAACAUAAAUGCGUGUCAAUCAUUUUUUAUCUGUGUAAAAUUGUUAAAAGUAACAUUUAGAAAAAACAGAAGAAAUAAUAAAAUAUUUUUUUGGUAAACAGUUUUUUAAUAAAAUAUAUCAGUAUACAGUUGUUUAAUGUAUAAUUAUGUAAAUAAAACUAAUGUGAAUCAUACACUUAAUAGGUGGCGUCAUAUAUGGGGACGGAGGCGUGGAUCUCAGGGACCGCCACAUCUCGAUCACCGUCUUCUCUCCACACCGCCUCCAACGCCUGAUCCACUCACGUGCUCUCUUUAACUUCUUUCUCAAAUCUCAAUAAUCGAAUACAUGCAAACAUGUUUUCUAUGUUGAUGGCCAAAAUAAAAGGCAAUUAAUAUCAUUUUCCUCUCUCACUCUCUCCGGUUAAAGGAAAUUUCAGAUCUAUUUCUGAGACCGGUGGCUCCUCCGUCGGUCUCGGCUCCGGUCGCUGUGGUGACAUCGAUUUGCUUGUAGAUGGGAAGGGUUUUCCGAGAGAGUUUGACUGCCGCAAGGGUUCAGAUCUGUGCCGGAUCUGUGGCAGCAGUGGAGGAUCUAAGUUUCUCUGGGCUUGAGGACUGCUCUAGGGUUUUCUUCUUCCUCUGUCCGCUUCGCCUUCUCUCGGUCUCCAAGUAGUGGUCUCUCUCUCUUUCUCGGCUGGCAGAUUUGCUUCCUCAGGUCAGUGCUUUUAUCCUCAGUUAUGGUGGUGGUGAGCUUUUUCUGGUGAGCUUAGAGGACUAGCUAGCCGUAGGUUCCGCAGGCUUCAUUCCGGUGGUGGUUAAGCGUUUUCCAGGGCUUGAGUGUUGAAGUCUCAGUGGUGUCUUUGCGGUAGACUACUGGUGUAUAUGGUAUCUAGCUUUUCUAACAGUGGUUGUGGCAUUGAGCCUUGUUUUAAGGAACUGCCUAGAGUUUCCAUUUCAAGGGUUCGUUUGUCCUAUCUGCGGCUGGUGGCAUAGUUGUAUGAUAGGAUCCCCGACUCCUUCUUGCUCGGAGAAGAUCAUUUUACUGGUUCUCAGUAAAAGGAACGCGGGAGAGGAUGUGGAGGGCUUCGAUUUGGUCUCUCGGAGUUUUCUUGCUUCUGUGGCGACGUGUUAGAGACUGUCAAAUUUUCGGUGGUGGAGGUCUACAUUCUACCGGUGUUUGGUAUUGUCUCUGUCUUCUUUUUCUGCAGGUCUGGUGGGUGUGGCAGUCGCUUUGGCUAUCUUCUUUCCAAAUAAAGAGCUCGGUACAGCUAAUGGACUUCUUUGGUUUGAGAUGUUGGAAGGCUCUUCUCUCUGAUUGGUGGUAGUAGUGUAUCUUCAUACUUUUCCAGCAAAGCUGUGGUGUUUCUUCAUUGUGGCGGGACUGAUGUGGUUGUAGCAUCGUACUUUUCCGGUGAGGCUGCGAUGAUUUUUGAUGUGGCGGGUCUGAUGUGGUUGUGGCAUCGUACUUUUCCAGCAAAGCUGCGGCGUUUGUCGUUGUGGCGGGACUGAUGUGGUUGUAGCAAUUCGUACUUUUCCAGGGAGGCUGCGGUGAAUCUUAUUGUGGCGGGUUUGAUGUGGUUGAAGCUUCGUACUUUCCCAGCAAAGCUGCGACGUGUUUUCGUUGUGGUUGGACUGAUGUGGUUGGAGUUUUCUAUUCUUUAGUCGUGGUAUAGAGAUUUAUGUGGCCUCUCGUUCUAAGGUGAUUUUAUUGGUUGUGGUCAUAGUGUUUGUUCAUUUUUCUUUUUUGCUGCCAUAGAUUUUGGUUUUUCUAAUUUCUUUGUUGUGUCUCUGUAUUUCUGUCAAAAAUUAAAAGUUGGUAUAAAAUUUAACAUUUUACCCAAAAAAAAAAAAUGUUUUCUAUGUUGGUU